CCAAUAGCGUAUAUUAAAGUUGUUGCAGUUAAAAAGCUCGUAGUUGAAUUUCGGGAUUGACGUGAUGGUCGUGCCUUACGGGGUAUGAACUGUUGCUGUUGAUUUCUCACCUUCUGGAGAAACUUGAUGUCCUUAAUUGGGUGUCUUGCGGAUCCAGGACCUUUACCUUGAAAAAAUUAGAGUGUUUAAAGCAGGCAUUUUUGCUCGAAUACAUUAGCAUGGAAUAAUAUAAUAGGACGGCAUGGUUCUAUUUUGUUGGUUUCUAGGAUCACCGUAAUGAUUAAUAGGGAUAGUUGGGGGCAUUAGUAUUCAAUUGUCAGAGGUGAAAUUCUUGGAUUUAUUGAAGACUAACUACUGCGAAAGCAUUUGCCAAGGAUGUUUUCAUUAAUCAAGAACGAAAGUUAGGGGAUCGAAGACGAUCAGAUACCGUCGUAGUCUUAACCAUAAACUAUGCCGACUAGGAAUCAGACGAUGUUAAUUUUUUAAUGACUCGUUUGGCACCUUACG
rnacentral:rRNA from 1 species